GAUGAACGCUGGCGGCGUGCCUAAUACAUGCAAGUCGAGCGAACGGACGAGAAGCUUGCUUUUCUGAUGUUAGCGGCGGACGGGUGAGUAACACGUGGAUAACCUACCUAUAAGACUGGGAUAACUUCGGGAAACCGGAGCUAAUACCGGAUAAUAUUUUGAACCGCAUGGUUCAAAAGUGAAAGACGGUCUUGCUGUCACUUAUAGAUGGAUCCGCGCUGCAUUAGCUAGUUGGUAAGGUAACGGCUUACCAAGGCAACGAUGCAUAGCCGACCUGAGAGGGUGAUAGGCCACACUGGAACUGAGACACGGUCCAGACUCCUACGGGAGGCAGCAGUAGGGAAUCUUCCGCAAAGGGCGAAAGCCUGACGGAGCAACGCCGCGUGAGUGAUGAAGGUCUUCGGAUCGUAAAACUCUGUUAUUAGGGAAGAACAUAUGUGUAAGUAACUGUGCACAUCGUGACGGUACCUAAUCAGAAAGCCACGGCUAACUACGUG
rnacentral:rRNA from 1 species